GACAGAGGCCCCGAGCGUUAGGCGGAAUCACUGGGCUUAAAGCGUGUGUAGGCGGGCCCGUAAGUGUCUUGUGAAAUCCCACGGCUCAACCGUGGAACUGCUGGGCAUACUGCGGGUCUUGGGCCAACUAGGGGCAGCCGGAACAAGCGGUGGAGCGGUGAAAUGCGUAGAUAUCGAGAGGAACACCUGCGGCGAAGGCGGGUUGCUGGGCUGAUACUGACGCUGAGGCGCGAAAGCCAGGGGAGCGAACGGG
rnacentral:rRNA from 1 species